UAUAUGGUAUUGGCUUAUACUCGCCACAAGCUACAACAUGAACAACACAUAGAAAAAUAUAUUCAAUCACCAUGUAGAAGAGCAGGGUCCGACUACGGACGAAAGCAAACGAUAAAAGAACGACAUCCAUCCUUGCUAUCCGAGGCUGCUCGCGUGGAACCCAUCCUAGAUCGAUGAUAAAGAAUAAGAAGUAACUCCAAAUAGAACUAUCAUCGCACUCACGUCAAAGCAUCGCUUUACCUGUACAUGCAACUGUUGUUGUAGUAAUCUGUGAACCACACGGACUCGGCAAUCUCAUUUCCGAAGGUAUCAAGACUAGCAAUGCUUAAUGGGUGAGG
rnacentral:lncRNA from 1 species